rnacentral:lncRNA from 1 species
CAUAUUGUUAUGUAAUAGAUAGUAAAUAGAUUAUGUAUUAUUAUGUUACAAUUAAAAUAUUUUGAAUAUUUUUAUUUGCAUUCUUCACAGAAUGAAAAGAAAAGCAAAGAAUCAACCAUGGAGCAUGUUAAAGAAAUCUUCAGAAAUUGUUAAACCUAUCCCUAAUUCAACAAAUGAAACUUCAAGAAACCUAAAGAGGGAUAGUGAAGAUGAAAUUUUUGGAUUUUCUUCAGACAGUGAUAAUGAAAGAAAAGAGAAGAAACUUUUG